ACCACUCCCAGGUUUCGUCACUUCAUUCCCACCCCAGGAACAUCACUGUCCAUGAUGGCAGUCUGCCCGGCAAUCUGGCCUGUUCCCAAGACUGGCGUUUCACUCCUCGAUUGCACCUGUAACCAAACUUGGUGAUCUCCUGCAACUGCUCUACCUCUGGUUUCUCCUAACAUACUACCCACAGCAACCUCAAACAAUGAAGUUUUGUACCAUUAUAGAGUCCUCUUAUUGGAAUGGAUUAGAGGGGAAGGAAGAAACUUAAUAAUUUUGUUGUAAGGAUUACAAAUACACCUACAUGAUAAAUUGGGGGCCGGGGAGGAUGGUCCUAAUGUGGUAACUUGGGUCAAACUUGCCAGUGAGUCAGACAUGUAUUUGAGAAGUGCUGCAUCUCAGACAGCUUAGAUGCAAGUGAAGGAGAUACACUUUGAGAAAUGGACUGUAGAUACCAUGAAGACGUUGAUGUCCAAGAUGCAUGUAGAGAGUGAAUAAAAUUGUUACUUGAAAUGUGAGAAUGGGAAAAAAGCAAUAUUUUGUAUUAAUGUAUUAUAUAUAUAAUGUUAUUUUAAAUAUGCAUGUGUAACUAAAGUAAUAAAUUAGAUAUUAUAACUA
rnacentral:lncRNA from 1 species